rfam:Ipomoea nil DNA, scaffold: scaffold0465, cultivar: Tokyo-kokei standard.
GCGCAUUUAGUGUAGUGGUAUCAUAGUACCCUCCCACGAUACUGACUGGGGUUCAAUUCCUUGAAUGCACA